AAUCAACGCUGGCGGCGUGCCUAACACAUGCAAGUCGAACGCGAAAGCCCGCAAGGGUGAGUAGAGUGGCGCACGGGUGAGUAACACGUGGACAACCUGCCUUCGAGUGGGAAUAACCUUCCGAAAGGAGGGCUAAUACCGCAUAACACCUUGGGACACAAGUUCUGGGGUUGAAAAGAGCAAUUUGCUCGAAGAGGGGUCCGCGCCUGAUUAGCCAGUUGGUGAGGUAACGGCUCACCAAGGCUUCGAUCAGUAGCCGUCCUGAGAGGGAGCACGGCCACACUGGAACUGAGACACGGUCCAGACUCCUACGGGAGGCAGCAGUGGGGAAUUUUUGGCAAUGGGCGAAAGCCUGACCAAGCAACGCCGCGUGGGUGAUGAAGUAUCUUGGUACGUAAAACCCUUUCGGCAGGGGCGAACCUAAUGACGGUACCUGCGGAAGAAGCCCCGGCUAACUCCGUGCCAGCAGCCGCGGUAAUACGGGGGGGGCAAGCGUUGUUCGGAAUUACUGGGCGUAAAGGGCGCGUAGGCGGUUGGAUAAGUCAGCUGUGAAAACCACGAGCUUAACUCGUGGCCUGCAGUUGAGACUGUCUGGCUUGAGUGUGGGAGAGGAGAGUGGAAUUCCUGGUGUAGCGGUGAAAUGCGUAGAUAUCAGGAGGAACACCGGUGGCGAAGGCGGCUCUCUGGACCACAACUGACGCUGAGGCGCGAAAGCUAGGGGAGCAAACAGGAUUAGAUA
rnacentral:rRNA from 1 species